GAUGAACGCUAGCGGCAGGCCUAAUACAUGCAAGUCGAGGGAGAAUGUUGGAUUCGUCUGACAUGAAACCGGCGCACGGGUGCGUAACACGUAUGCAACCUACCUUUAACUGGGGUAUAGCUCAGAGAAAUCUGAAUUAAUCCCCCAUAAGACUACGACAUGGCAUCAUGAUGUAGUUAAAGCUCCGGCGGUUAAGGAUGGGCAUGCGGUACAUUAGCUAGUUGGUGAGGUAAUGGCUCACCAAGGCUACGAUGUAUAGGGGGUCUGCGAGGAUGAUCCCCCACACUGGUACUGAGACACGGACCAGACUCCUACGGGAGGCAGCAGUAGGGAAUAUUGGUCAAUGGACGCGAGUCUGAACCAGCCAUGCCGCGUGAAGGAUGAAGGCCCUAUGGGUCGUAAACUUCUUUUAUUAGGGAAGAAAAAACGGGAUGCGUCCUGUACUGACGGUACUUAAUGAAUAAGGAUCGGCUAACUACGUGCCAGCAGCCGCCGUAA
rnacentral:rRNA from 1 species